rnacentral:piRNA from 1 species
UAAAACACUGCAGCAGACCUGCGUGUCAGCCA